rnacentral:lncRNA from 1 species
UCCGACGACCAUUGCUCUCAUUGUGAAAGAGAUAGUGAGGUGAAGAACGACCAGUUUCUGACGAGCUUUGGUAUGGCUGGUGGCAGUGAUGGGGUCAGCAGCUGCGACUGCUUUGAUGGUGAAGAGGGGGAGUGGCAUUAGGGUAUGAUGAAGGUUACAGCUGUGCUUUUGUCUUAGGGUUGGGGUCUUCAAAUUACAUGUGUGUUGGAAUGGAGAUGAAGAAGAGGGGUUGUUUUUUGUCUUUGGUUUUGUGAGGGUGUGAAGAAGAAGAAUUUCGGGAGGAUGGAUGGGGGUCU